rnacentral:rRNA from 1 species
AGCGAACGCUGGCGGCAGGCCUAACACAUGCAAGUCGAGCGCCCCGCAAGGGGAGCGGCAGACGGGAGAGUAACACGUGGGAACGUACCCUUUGGUUCGGAACAACCCAGGGAAACUUGGGCUAAUACCGGAUAAGCCCUUACGGGGAAAGAUUCAUCGCCGAAGGAUCGGCCCGCGUCUGAUCAGCUAGUUGGUGGGGUAACGGCACACCAAGGCGACGAUCAGUAGCUGGUCUGAGAGGAUGAUCAGCCUCACUGGGACUGAGACACGGCCCAGACUCCUACGGGAGGCAGCAGUGGGGAAUAUUGGACAAUGGGCGCAAGCCUGAUCCAGCCAUGCCGCGUGGGUGAUGAAGGCCCUAGGGUUGUAAAGCCCUUUCGGCGGGGAAGAUAAUGACGGUACCCGCAGAAGAAGCCCCGGCUAACUUCGUGCCAGCCGCCGCAGUAA